UAAAUGCGGAAGAGAUAAGUGCUGAAAGCAUCUAAGCACGAAACUUGCCCCGAGAUGAGUUCUCCCUGACUCCUUGAGAGUCCUGAAGGAACGUUGAAGACGACGACGUUGAUAGGCCGGGUGUGUAAGCGCAGCGAUGCGUUGAGCUAACCGGUACUAAUGAACCGUGAGGCUUAACCUU
rnacentral:rRNA from 1 species